rnacentral:rRNA from 1 species
ACGUUUAGCGAUGGAUAUUUCGGCUCGGGCAACGACGAAGAGCCCAGCGAAGUGCGAUAAGCACUGCGAAUUGCACAAUUCCGCGAGCCAAUUGAAAUUUGAAUGCAUGCUGUGCAUUCGGGCAGGCCUGAAGGCAUGCCUGCUUCAGUGUC